AAGUGUUCUCCAAGUGUGAGCAAGAUUCUUACCUAAAGUAAGUCUAACCUGAUACUACUUGCUGAAGUUUUUAUAUUGUGCUUUUCUCUUGCCUGCAUUUCUCAUUUGUGAUAACUUUUUAAUGAAAGAACCCUUAAUGUAAAGUAAUUGAUUAGAGCCUAAGAAAUUUCAAAGCUCUCUAUGUGUGAGGUAGUAGAAGAAAUGCAUUAACAGCUCUUCUGCAAACAUCUUUAUGCUUUUUGUUUCUUUGCUAUAGCUCAACUUUAAGUCAGAACAGAAAUUUAUGUACUAAACAGAAUAGAUUCUUUGUGCUCUACCAUGCUGGCUGAAUCCUGUCUUUCUGAUAUGGUCUUCACCCACUAAACUAGGAGACGGCUUCUCAUUUCUGAUAGAGUUCUGGUUGUCAGGCAGAUGAUGUGGGUCAUUAAUUUUUCUGCUUCCUCAUUAGUUACAUAGAUAAUACUAACCUAUUCCAUGGGGGUUAUUUAAUGAAUUAAGGAUGAUAAAAACCUUGAAAAUGUUUGUGCACUCUGGAUUUUAGGCUUAAUAUUACUACCACCUGCUAGAUAGAAAGUCACAACCUUCAAUCACUUAAGGUGAUUGAACUUUAAUAAAAUAUGUUUUAUGACCCUACUGGCCCUUUUUUUUUUUUUUAGGGGAGGAGGUCUGCCUUCCUAAAGGUGAGGCAAUAGAAAUUUAUGAUUUUGUAAUAGAAUGCUCCUUGUUUUAUCUCUUAUUACAGCUGGAAACUGACAGUAAUACUUAAUCCAGUCCAACAACUACUGGGUUGAAUGAAAGGUCAUUUUUGUCUAAAUUCCAAGUGGAAUUAAAUGUAAUCACAGAGACACCUAAGUUUUCCUUACAUUUAAGGGAAAUCACUCUUUAAGAAAUGCUAACUCAUCAGAACUGUGUUGCUAUUAUCAGAAUCAACUCAUUUGGCUAGCUAUUUGCUACUCAGAAGACUUUCUUAUUUCUUAGAUGGAAAAAAAGUCUGUAUAGUUCAUGCUAGUAGCAGCUAAAAAUGUGGCCUCAUUUGAAAUUUCUCAGAUUCUACAUUGUACUAAUUGAUUAUGUACAACAAAUUACAAGUAAAAAGCUCUUGAAACCCUG
rnacentral:lncRNA from 1 species